CCCUUAGAUGUUCUGGGCCGCACGCGCGCUACACUGACGAAUGCAACGAGCUUAUAACCUUGGCCGAAAGGUCUGGGUAAUCUCCAAAUUUCGUCGUGAUGGGGAUAGAUUAUUGCAAGUAUUAAUCUUCAACGAGGAAUGCCUAGUAAGCGCAAGUCAUCAGCUUGCGUUGAUUACGUCCCUGCCCUUUGUACACACCGCCCGUCGCUCCUACCGAUUGAAUGGUCCGGUGAAGCGUUCGGACCGUGGCCUUUGGACGGUUCGCCGUCUGUUGGCUGCGGGAAGUUCGUUAAACCUUAUCAUUUAGAGGAAGGAGAAGUCGUANCA
rnacentral:rRNA from 1 species